rnacentral:rRNA from 1 species
GACGAACGCUGGCGGCGUGCUUAACACAUGCAAGUCGAACGGAAAGGCCCUGCUUUUGUGGGGUGCUCGAGUGGCGAACGGGUGAGUAACACGUGAGUAACCUGCCCUUGACUUUGGGAUAACUUCAGGAAACUGGGGCUAAUACCGGAUAGGAGCUCCUGCUGCAUGGUGGGGGUUGGAAAGUUUCGGCGGUUGGGGAUGGACUCGCGGCUUAUCAGCUUGUUGGUGUGGUAGUGGCUUACCAAGGCUUUGACGGGUAGCCGGCCUGAGAGGGUGACCGGCGACAUUGGGACUGAGAUACGGCCCAGACUCGUACGGGAGGCAGCAGUGGGGAAUAUUGCACAAUGGGCGGAAGCCUGAUGCAGCAACGCCGCGUGCGGGAUGACGGCCUUCGGGUUGUAAACCGCUUUCGCCUGUGACGAAGCGUGAGUGACGGUAAUGGGUAAAGAAGCACCGGCUAACUACGUG